CGGGGCGUAGCGCAGGCCGGUAGCGCACCUGCUUUGGGAGCAGGGGGUCGCUGGUUCAAAUCCAGUCGCCCCGACCA
rnacentral:tRNA from 1 species